UGGCGAGUGGCGAACGGGUGAGUAAUACAUCCGAACGUGCCUAGUAGUGGGGGAUAACUACUCGAAAGAGUGGCUAAUACCGCAUGAGAUCUACGGAUGAAAGCAGGGGAUCGCAAGACCUUGUGCUACUAGAGCGGCCGAUGGCAGAUUAAGUAGUUGGUGGGAUAAAAGCUUACCAAGCCAACGAUCUGUAGCUGGUCUGAGAGGACGAUCAGCCACACUGGGACUGAGACGCGGCCCACACUCCUACGGGAGGCAGCGGUGGGGAAUUUUGGACAAUGGGCGAAAGCCUGA
rnacentral:rRNA from 1 species